UUAGAUCUGUGGGAGUAGGAACCGAAGGGUCCUGGAAAGGUCCUGGUGGGGGACGCCGCUGACACUGGGGACCUCUGGUGAGAAGGGGCGCUGGGAGAAGGCAGCGCCGCGUUGAGGGACCCUUCCUGCUACUGGGAUUGUGAGGUGGGGAGAAAGGACUUGUUAGUACUCGGCAGAGUGGGUUGCUUAGGGGAAAAUAAAAAACGACGCUGCUGUUUUACACAGGAAACGAAGAAGGCUCUUGCUACUCUGUUGGAUGGAAAAAUAAAAAAGAUCAUUGGGAAGCGAGAAAGAGACCUCAGCAAAGCAGGUCAGGGUCUUCAGAAGGGAACCGAGCUGGAGAUUCCCCAUUCACUCCUCCUAGGAGCCUGGAGGGGGGUGAGUUGUCUGGGGAGCCUGGGGACAAUGGUGUGAGUUCAUGGGAAGAAUGUCACUCUGGAUUUUCUGCCUGGUUAUGGGACUCCUCUCCACUAGCUAGCCUUCUCUCAAUGCCCAGACAGAUGCCUUCCACAUUUUUCUCUUGUGCUUCAGACUGGGAAGAGGCGAUACCCAGGUGGGGGUUGGGGGGAGGGUGGUGGAAAUUAGAUGUGGAAGCCUAGUGGGCGCACUGGAAAAGGGACCGAGAGCUGGGUGCCUGAGGCAAGAGUCGGGUUGGUGGGGGAGGGGGACCAAGGGGAGAAGCCUGGGCUUACAGGGAUUCGGUAAGAUAGAGGGGCAAGUUUUGAGGCUUCUGUGCAGAAGACGAUCUUGGGCUGGAGCAGGGAGGGGGUGUUGCAUGGCCAGUGCUGGUCCGAGUUGGGCCAGAGGGGCAGGGACUGAGACUGGCCUAGAUGAGACCUUAGCACUGAAUGCUGCUGCCUCCUACUCUUCAUCUUCCAUCCCUUCUCCCCACCCCCCAAGCGUGAGCCUCCCCCCACCACCCAUCCCAGCCUGCAUUCCUCUUUGAGCAGGUUGCUUUUGAGAAUUUUAAACAUACCCUCUCAUUUCGAGGCAGCAAACCCCAGCAGUUCCGGCUUCGCUGUUAGCUCUUUUGUCUUUGUUCCCAGGACUCAGGGGCUGUGUCGCUGGCUUCCUGGGGAUGGCUGGGAUGCAGGGGGUGGGGGUGGGCGCUUCAGCCGGUGCUGAGUCUGCAUCCCCUGGGGGUGAUGGGCUGGGACUUGUUGGUUCAAAUAAACCCAGAAGUCAGACUGGGGCGGAGGUUGGAGUGAGGGAGCCCGGAAGAAAAAUGGGAGGGGGACCCCGAGGUCUUCAGGAAGUCUGGACCUUAAAAGCGCGUGACUGCGUUUGGUGGUGGAAUGGGAAAAGUGCCUAGAAAUGUGAGGGAAGAGGUUUGGGGGCAGUUUGGUCCUUUCAGAAUUUAGGGCCUUCCUCAGCAUCUCCCUGCCUCCUUCGCUGCCGUGUACAAUGCCAGGGAUUAUGCUGAGGGGCGGAGCCGCCCAAGUGGCCGUCUGGCCCGCUGCACAUAUAAAGGUGCUAUAGAAAUGUGCAGUCUGUCAGAGUCUCCGGGCAGGCAGGCAGGCAGGCAGGCUGGCCGGCGGGCGGGCUGGGGAGGCUUUGCAUCUGCAGUUGCUGGGGGCGGAUAAGGGGGGCAGAGAAGAGCACUGAUUUACAGUGGUUCAGUGCAGUUUCAAAAAAAGAGGGGAGGAAAGCAAUGGGACUUCUGGCUGAAAGCGCUGCUUUGCAUCUUGCCUUGCAUAAAUUUGCAUACUGAGUUCAAAGUCGUAAAAUAGACUCGGGGAAUGAGUGGGACCCACUGUCACUGAUUGCUAACACCACCACCUUCCGCCCCCCUCCCCUCUUCUGGACAGAAUGCUCAGAACUCGCUCUGCUAAGCUGCUCCGCCUGAGUCACCACCACUUUGGAAGGAGGAGAUGGGGGAGCUGAGUGCUGUGCUGCGCCUGGGUCCCCUCAUGGGAGAUAUGUGCUUCCUUGGCGACGGGUGUCCCAUGGCCUUGGAGGCAGGGCUGCUGUGGAGGGUGUGGCUGGAAGGUCCCGAGCCUGCUAGGCAAGCAGGAGCCUGGGCCUGCCCUUGCGCUGGAGAGCUGGAAUUGGAGGAAGCCACCAAAUCGGAGUCUUUCCCUGCAGUCUCCCUACUCACAUUUCACCUGAGUCAAGUGUUCACUAAAGUCAGUUCCCUUUGUCUGGACCAGUGAUUCCAUCCAUUCCUUUGGCAAGAUAUUUGAGAAAGCUUUAGUAAAAAAGCAAAUCUUGUAUAGCAAUGUCAAAAGAUCUCACAAAAACUAAAACAGGACUAAGGACUCUGAAUUAGAAUAGGUGGUAGAGUCUAGUGGGGAAUAAGAACACACCUGAGGUGGUCAUGAGGAUCUACCUAUGUAGUAGUUCUUGGCCAAAUUGGACGAUUGAGUUUCCUGGCAGGCAAAGGGAAAAGGGAGGCUUAUAAAGUUCUCAUUGUUACCUUACCUUAGCAUUGAGCUUUAAAAUAAACUUUUCACGGAGAUCAGUCCUUUGGAUUAGGGGGGGGGAGCUUUAUGGAAAUUAGCCUUAUAAAAAAGCCCGUGGGUUGCUUGAGAAUAGGGCAUAUUUGAUCACCCACGGCCAGGCCUUUGAGGGCGUACUUUGAGAGCAUCACUGCUCUCUAGCCCAACUGUCAGGUUAGCUUCUUGUUGGUUCUCAGAUUAGCUGUUCUCUGCCAUAGAAAAUGGGACACGCAAUUAAGAUUUGAUGUGAGGAAGUGCUGAAAAUUCUCGACUCUAAUGAAAUGUAGAAUCAGAGCAUUUUUCUCAGCCUGUUGGGGGUGGGGGUAGGGCAGGGCAGGGGCUGCUAAAAGGAAGGAGGGAGAAGCAGAAAAUAAAUAGUUAUGCCCACAUUUGGUUUUGCUGUUGGUUUUCACAUUCUACCAUACCGUAACAACAACAACAAAAAGUCUUGGUGAUUGUUAUUAUUUUUAAAAUAAUUUUAUAUCCAGGGACUGCAUUUAGCUUCAAUCUCUUCUGUGUUCUCAGCUGCCCACUUCCUCCUCUGCUUUCUCUAUCCUGUCUUCUCAACACCCUCUAGACCCUUUGUCCCAUGCUUUCUCACCGUGGCCUGGUCUAGGACACCUGGCUGGAUGCUAAGUAGGUGGACAGGCAUUGAGAAGGUGUCAUGGAAAAUAUACUGACCCCAAGCUUUCUCAGGGAUCCAAUUGGAGGGAGACCACGGAGGUGAAUGGCGACUGGAAUGUCUGAAUCGAAUCUAAUCCGUAUGUGAGGCGGGAGGUUGGCUGGCAGUGCAGGGUCUGGGCUUAGUGGGCGGGGGAAAUAGCCAUUUCUCUCCGGGAAGGUUCAUGCUUGGGCUGCUUCUGCUGACACCAAGGCACAGAAGAGCGAGGUUACACUUUCCAUUGACCAGGGGAGCUAGUGUUCUGGUUGGCAGAUGUUCUAGGCCCCUCUGCUUCUUGCUAUCUCUGGCCAGCGUUUUGCUGAGGUGGCAGGCAGCCGCCAGGAGAUGGAUCAUAUCCCAUCUGUCCUUAUCCUGUUGUGAACUGGCUUCUUUGCCUGCUUUGUCUUCUGUGUAUGACAUCCCUGUGACGUAGGUUUUUCGCCUCUAUUUUGCAGGUGAGGACUCGGGCUUAGUCAAGGGGCACCUUAGCAGGUAAUUAAUAGGAUGAGAAACUAACCCGGCUGCCUUUCCUCUGGCCAAGCCAGGGAGUGGAACUUGGCAGAAAAAGCCUUUGACUCUGUCAGCCAGAAGAUUUGUUCGUGGACACCUGCCAUGUGCAGAUGAUGCCCAGGUCUCGGUUCAUCACUGUCGGCUUCAGGUUCAGUUAUUUGCGUUUUCUCGCCUCGUCUGAGAGGCCCAAGUUCUGGAGCUUGGGGACUUCAGAAAUAGAAGUGGCCAUCAUGCAGCAGUUAGAGGCAAAAGGGUCCCGGGGUGGGCUUCUGGAGAGGAGAACUGGGGGGCCCGAGGGGGUUGAGAAGAGAUGAUGAUGGAAGCAGCCCGGUCUUUGCUGUCAGUUGACCUCGGUUUCCAUGCUGACUUGUCUCAGAACCUGAGUGGUGAUGGGCUGAGGCCUUCCCCGUUGGUGACGUGGGGAUGAUUGUAUCUCUUAAAUGGGGUGUGUGUGAGGGCAGCUGUGGCAGUGGAGAGUGUCUGCCACAUAGUAGGUUCUCACACACAUUAGUUGCCUUAAUCUUGGCAAACAAUGUCUCCUUUCCUUUAAAAUGAAUGCUCACUGUCUGUGUCAGAAUGGCCAAUCAUCUACAGCAUGUAGGGGCCUCAUCCGAGAUGUAUUCUCCCUGAGCCUAAGUUCCCUUAUCUGUCAGUCAAGAAUUGAUAGGACCAGCUCCAUUGAGUUGUGCCUGCAUGCAUGUUACAUGUAUGCAUACAUGUGUGUAAAGAUAAUACAUAUAAACCUAAACACUUGGGUUUGUUUUUUUUUUUUUGUAAUGAGUCACUUGAUUUUUAUCUCUUCACCUAUAAAAAGGAAAUAUUCAUACCUCUGACCUACUUUCACAGACAGUAGUGAAACUGUUUCUUAGAAAGGAUAAUGAAACCGUACUUUAAAUGCAGUAUAAACCCUGUUGACAAUAAACAAUGGCUGAGGUCAACAGGCUCACACUGUUUAUGGACGAGGUAGGCAGUGUUCUCUGCGGCCUGUGUCCUAAAAUCUGGGACUGACCGUUCUCGGGAGCGUCACUCUGCAGUGCCCAGAUUUGGGGUGGAGGGACUAUGCGGGACAAAGGUGGCCCCAGAAUUUAGACACUGGGUACUUGUGCUGGCCUUGCUGCUCAUGAACAGGUGACCCAGGGCCGAAUACUGCUUUCACCUGGACAGCCAACCUGUCGGGUCCAGCCCUCCAGCUGCUUGUGUUCAGGGGCUUGGAAGAUCUCCGAGGCCACGUCUCAGGCGGAAAGCUCCCUCCGGUACGGAUGGCCCUCCAUGGGAAACUUGCGAGGACCCCCAAUGGGGGUCAAGCAUGAACUGGCCCUAACACAGUUAGGACGUAAGACGUUGCGAGGGGGUGCAGUUGUUGAGUUGUCAGAGCCAGCAAAGACCCCAUGGUGCCUGUUUCCUGCUGCAGGAAAAUGGGCUUUCAGAUCCAUCCUGUCUGAGCCGAGGGUGCCAGAAAGUUGAACGUGAUCCUGGCAAAGAAACUGGAUGUUCCAUCCAAAAAAAGUGACGUUUCCUUACUAUGAGUCUCCGGAGUUUACCUCACUCUGAGGGGGGAGCAGCAUUGCUUUUCACGGGGGCGCUGAAGGGUCUCAGCGGGGAUGCUGGGUGCAGGACUGUUUUGGGGCGCUGGAGUUCUUUCUAAUGUUCGAUUCCAUCUGUGGUCCCAGAAAGCCUUUGGGGUGGUGGGCUGUCGGGGCACAGUGACGGCAGUUCUCAGGCGUCUGAUGGAGCUGAAGCCCCAGGAAGCAGAGAAGAUGAAUGCUUGAGCUUUGGGGGUUCAGCAUAUGCUUGUGGUGAGACCCAGGACAGUAGGGACAAAGUGUAGUAUUUGCCGCUGGGCAUCUGGGGUGGACUCUGGGCCUUCAUGGUAUGUGUGGUGGGAGGCAAAGCCCACUUUAGAGGUGGGGAUUCAGUCCAGAGAAAUUUCUUGGCUAUCAGGUUCCAGAGUAACUGCCCCCACCCUCACCUCACCCCUGCAAUGAGUAGCGUCUCUGUGGGCUAUAGGAGGUCUUUUUCUCUCCUGGAAAAUGGACCAUCCCCCUGUGCCUCUCCCCGGCUACUUGGCUCCUAACCCUGGACGCGACCCUCCCCCUCCUCGCCACUCCUGUUCCUUAACAAAGCCAGGGACGAUCUGGGCUGGCUCGGCUCCUGGGUGUCAGUCAGGACGCAGAGGGAGACCUUGCUCAGAAAGCAGCUCCCCCGGAAAGAAGUACAGAGUGGACUGUAGUCGGGAAUUGUUUCCCUUCCCCCGCGUUUUUUUUGGUAAGGGGGGGCAUCUGGCAGCCCUUGGGUCCCCUUCUGGCCGCCAGUCCCACAUCUCUCCUUGGCUGUUGGGAGGCAGAGCAGGAGUGAAGAUUGGGGAGAGGGGACGGGGGGCUGGCAGGCCUCCAGCUGCCAGGCAGGAGAGUUGGCCCACGGGCUCUGGUGAAGUUGGCCUGAGCAGAGCCUGGGGAGGUUUCUCAUGAGUGGACGGGUGUAGGUGUGUCAGCCUGUGUUCAUUCAAGGAAUUGAGAGCUCUGGGAGCCAGGGAGCCGAGGACGGGAGGGAACUGAGCCCAGGAAGGCCUGGGGAGGUUGAGGAAGUGGGGGCGUGGGGGGGAGGCAAGAGGAGCAUGUUUAGCGUGUUCCAUCCUGAUAGGAGUGAAGAGAUGGGGACCUUCCGGCCGGAGGGAUCUGAGUUGCAUUACGGGGUACAGUGAGCAAAGGGGCAACCUCAAAGGGUAAAUGACGAAAUAAUGAUACCUAAAACUGCUUUUUUGCUAGACAUUGUCUACUUCUACCGAAGUGCCUUUAGAUUCAUUUUUUUUUUCAUCUGUUUUAGCCUUAGGAUGCUCACCACUUGACAGAUAAAGGAAUCAAGGCUGCAUUCAGGUUCAAAUGCAAAGGCAGGCGCGGACCAGAACGGAAGGACCAGAAUGGAGUCCGGGUCUCCAGCUUCUCAUUCCAGGGCUCAUUCCAUCAGACGCACACAUGCAGAGAGGCAAUGAAUUAUAUACUGCUGUUUAGAAAAGCUCCUUUUCCCUGGGAGGUAGUAAUUAAGGCAUAACUUCUCAAAAAUGUUCCUUUAUGCAA